rnacentral:tRNA from 1 species
GGAGAGAUGCCUGAGUGGUUGAAAGGGAAGCUCUCGAAAAGCUUUGUAUGAUUUUUCAUACCGGGGGUUCGAAUCCCUCUCUCUCCGCCA